rnacentral:rRNA from 1 species
AGAGUUUGAUCAUGGCUCAGGAUGAACGCUAGCGACAGGCCUAACACAUGCAAGUCGAGGGGCAUCGGGACGUAGCAAUACGUUGCCGGCGACCGGCGGAUGGGUGAGUAACGCGUAUGCAACCUACCCGUAGCAGAGGGAUAGCCCGUUGAAAGACGGAUUAAUACCCCGUAACACAGGGGCUCCGCAUGGAGAUUAUUGUUAAAGGGUCAUUUCUUUUUCAGGGAUGGUCCGGCUGCGGAUGGGCAUGCGUUCCAUUAGGUAGUUGGUGUAGGUAACGGCUCACCAAGCCGACGAUGGAUAGGGGAACUGAGAGGUUGGUCCCCCACACUGGUACUGAGACACGGACCAGACUCCUACGGGAGGCAGCAGUGAGGAAUCUUGGUCAAUGGACGCAAGUCUGAACCAGCCAUGUCGCGUGAAGGAGGACGGCCCUAAGGGUUGUAAACUUCUUUUGCAGCGGAAUAAAGUUUGCCACGAGUUGGCGAUUUGCAAGUACGCUGCGAAUAAGGAUCGGCUAACUCCGUGCCAGCAGCCGCGGUAAUACGGAGGAUCCGGGCGUUAUCCGGAUUUAUUGGGUUUAAAGGGUGCGCAGGCGGGGAUUUAGGUCGGCGGUGAAAUUUCGGGGCUCAACCUCGAUAGUGCCGUUGAAACCGUUUCUCUUGAGUGCGGAUGAGGUAGGCGGAAUUUGUGGUGUAGCGGUGAAAUGCGUAGAUAUCACAAGGAACACCGAUUGCGGAGGCAGCUUACUAAACCGUUACUGACGCUCAUGCACGAAGGCGUGGGGAUCAAACAGGAUUAGAUACCCUGGUAGUCCACGCAGUAAACGAUGAUUACUUGCUGUUUGCGAUACACAGUAAGCGGCGUAGCGAAAGCGUUAAGUAAUCCACCUGGGGAGUACGUUCGCAAGAAUGAAACUCAAAGGAAUUGACGGGGCCCGCACAAG